UACGGAGGAUCCAAGCGUUAUCCGGAUUUACUGGGUUUAAAGGGUGCGUAGGCUGCAAUAUAAGUCAGUGGUGAAAUCCCGUAGCUUAACUACGGAACUGCCGUUGAUACUGUAUAGCUUGAGUUCAAAUGAAGUGGGCGGAAUGUGUCAUGUAGCGGUGAAAUGCUUAGAUAUGCCACAGAACACCGAUAGCGAAGGCAGCUCACUAAUCUGCGACUGACGCUGAAGCACGAAAGCGUGGGUAUCAAACAGGAUUAGAUACCCUGGUAGUCCACGCUGUAAACGAUGAUAACUCGAUGUUUGCAUUUAUGUAAGCGUCUAAGUGAAAACACUAAGUUAUCCACCUGGGGAGUACGAUCGCAAGAUUGAAACUCAAAGGAAUUGACGGGGGCCCGCACAAGCGGAGGAGCAUGUGGUUUAAUUCGAUGAUACGCGAGGAACCUUACCUAGGCUUGAAAGACGUAUGCUUUAUUUAGAGAUAGAUAUUUCCGUUUACGGACAUACGUUUAGGUGCUGCAUGGCU
rnacentral:rRNA from 1 species